UACGAAGGGUGCAAACGUUGCUCGGAAUUAUUGGGCGUAAAGCGCACGUAGGCGGCUUUGUAAGUCGGAUGUGAAAUCCCUCGGCUUAACCAAGGAAGUGCAUCCGAAACUACAGAGCUUGAGUACUUAAGAGGAUCGCGGAAUUCCCGGUGUAGAGGUGAAAUUCGUAGAUAUUCGCAAGAACACCAGUGGCGAAGGCGGCUCACUGGUCCGGUACUGACGCUGAGGUGCGAAAGCGUGGGGAGCAAACAGG
rnacentral:rRNA from 1 species